rnacentral:rRNA from 1 species
GAGUUUGAUCCUGGCUCAGGAUGAACGCUGACAGAAUGCUUAACACAUGCAAGUCAACUUGAACUUCGGUUUGGGUGGCGGACGGGUGAGUAACGCGUAAAGAACUUGCCUCACAGUUAGGGACAACAUUUGGAAACGAAUGCUAAUACCUGAUAUUAUGAUUUUAGGGCAUCCUAAGAUUAUGAAAGCUAUAUGCGCUGUGAGAGAGCUUUGCGUCCCAUUAGCUAGUUGGAGAGGUAACGGCUCACCAAGGCGAUGAUGGGUAGCCGGCCUGAGAGGGUGAACGGCCACAAGGGGACUGAGACACGGCCCUUACUCCUACGGGAGGCAGCAGUGGGGAAUAUUGGACAAUGGACCGAGAGUCUGAUCCAGCAAUUCUGUGUGCACGAUGACGUUUUUCGGAAUGUAAAGUGCUUUCAGUUGGGAAGAAAAAAAUGACGGUACCAACAGAAGAAGUGACGGCUAAAUACGUGCCAGCAGCCGCGGUAAUACGUAUGUCACGAGCGUUAUCCGGAUUUAUUGGGCGUAAAGCGCGUCUAGGUGGUUAUGUAAGUCUGAUGUGAAAAUGCAGGGCUCAACUCUGUAUUGCGUUGGAAACUGUGUAACUAGAGUACUGGAGAGGUAAGCGGAACUACAAGUGUAGAGGUGAAAUUCGUAGAUAUUUGUAGGAAUGCCGAUGGGGAAGCCAGCUUACUGGACAGAUACUGACGCUAAAGCGCGAAAGCGUGGGUAGCAAACAGGAUUAGAUACCCUGGUAGUCCACGCCGUAAACG